GACGAACGCUGGCGGCGCGCCUAACACAUGCAAGUCGAACGAGCGAGAGAGAGCUUGCUUUCUCGAGCGAGUGGCGAACGGGUGAGUAACGCGUGAGGAACCUGCCUCAAAGAGGGGGACAACAGUUGGAAACGACUGCUAAUACCGCAUAAGCCCACGGUGCCGCAUGGCACAGAGGGAAAAGGAGCAAUCCGCUUUGAGAUGGCCUCGCGUCCGAUUAGCUAGUUGGUGAGGUAACGGCCCACCAAGGCGACGAUCGGUAGCCGGACUGAGAGGUUGAACGGCCACAUUGGGACUGAGACACGGCCCAGACUCCUACGGGAGGCAGCAGUGGGGAAUAUUGCACAAUGGGGGAAACCCUGAUGCAGCGACGCCGCGUGGAGGAAGAAGGUCUUCGGAUUGUAAACUCCUGUUGUUGGGGAAGAUAAUGACGGUACCCAACAAGGAAGUGACGGCUAACUACGUGCCAGCAGCCGCGGUAAAACGUAGGUCACAAGCGUUGUCCGGAAUUACUGGGUGUAAAGGGAGCGCAGGCGGGAAGACAAGUUGGAAGUGAAAUCUAUGGGCUCAACCCAUAAACUGCUUUCAAAACUGUUUUUCUUGAGUAGUGCAGAGGUAGGCGGAAUUCCCGGUGUAGCGGUGGAAUGCGUAGAUAUCGGGAGGAACACCAGUGGCGAAGGCGGCCUACUGGGCACCAACUGACGCUGAGGCUCGAAAGUGUGGGUAGCAAACAGGAUUAGAUACCCUGGUAGUCCACACCGUAAACGAUGAUUAAUGGGUGUUGGAGGAUUGACCCCUUCAGUGCCGCAGUUAACACAAUAAGUAAUCCACCUGGGGAGUACGACCGCAAGGUUGAAACUCAAAGGAAUUGACGGGGGCCCGCACAAGCAGUGGAGUAUGUGGUUUAAUUCGACGCAACGCGAAGAACCUUACCAAGUCUUGACAUCCCUUGACAGGCAUAGAAAUAUGUUUUCUCUUCGGAGCAAGGAGACAGGUGGUGCAUGGUUGUCGUCAGCUCGUGUCGUGAGAUGUUGGGUUAAGUCCCGCAACGAGCGCAACCCUUAUGGUCAGUUACUACGUAAGAGGACUCUGGCCAGACUGCCGUUGACAAAACGGAGGAAGGUGGGGAUGACGUCAAAUCAUCAUGCCCUUUAUGACUUGGGCUACACACGUACUACAAUGGCGUUAAACAAAGAGAAGCGAGACCGCGAGGCGGAGCAAAACUCAGAAACAACGUCCCAGUUCGGACUGCAGGCUGCAACUCGCCUGCACGAAGUCGGAAUUGCUAGUAAUCGUGGAUCAGCAUGCCACGGUGAAUACGUUCCCGGGCCUUGCACA
rnacentral:rRNA from 1 species